rnacentral:lncRNA from 1 species
AUGCUGCUCUCCAUAGGGAUGCUUAUGCUGUCAGCCACACAAGUCUACACCAUCUUGGCUGUCCAGCUCUUUGCAUUCUUAAACCUACUGCCUGUAGAAGCAGACAUUUUAGCAUAUAACUUUGAAAAUACAUCUCAGUCCUUUGGUGACCUCCCUGCAAGAUUUGGUUAUAGACUUCCAGCUGAAGGUUUAAAGGGUUUUUUGAUCAAAACCAGAGAAUGCCUGUGAACGCAGAGUGCCUCCACCAGUAAAAAACAAUUUGUCUGGCACUUUCAUUGUGUUAAUUAGAAGACUUGAUUGUAAUUUUGAUAUAAAGAUUUUAAAUGCACAGAGAGCAGAAUACAAAGCAGCCAUAGUUCACAAUGUUGAUUCUGAUGACCUCAUUAACAUUGGAUCCAAUGACAUUGAGGUACUAAAGAAAAUUGACAUUCUAUCUGUCUCUAUUGGUGAAUCAUCAGCUAAUUCUCUGAAAGAUGAAUUCAUGUAUGAAAAAGGGGACCACCUUAUCUUAGUUCCAGAAUUUAGUCUUCCUUUGGAAUGCUGCCUAAUUCCCUUCCUUAUCAUAGUGAGUAUCUGUCUCAUCUUGAUAGUCAUUUUCAUGUUUUUGGCUAUUACAAAUAAAGCUGAUAUGGACAUUUGUUAUAUGGAAAUAUGCUUUCAUUUCUAUUGGAUCACAAAAUUUUUCCAGGAUAGACAUAGAGCUAGAAGAAACAGACUUUGUAAAGAUCAACUUAAGAAACUCCCUGUACAUAAAUUCAAGAAAGGAGAUGAGUAUGAUGUAUGUGCCAUUUGUUCAGAUGAGUAGGAAGAUGGAGACAAGCUCAGAAUCCUUCCCUGUUCCCAUGCUUAUCACUGCAAGUGUGUAGACCCUUGGCUAACUAAAACCAAAAAAACCUGUCCUGUGUGCAAGCAAAAAUUUCCUUCUCAAGGCAAUCCAGACUCUGACACAGAUGGUAGUCAAGAAUAAAAUGAAGUGACCCUUUACUUAGACCUUUAGCUUCUGUCAUUGCCCAGUCAUUUGGGGCUUUGUCAGAAUCCCGCUCACAUCAGAACAUGACCGAAUCUUCAGACUAUGAGGAAGAUGACAAUGAAGAUAACAACAGUAGUGAUGAAGAAAAUGAAACUAAUGAACAUAAUGUUGCGGUCCAGUUGCAGCCUAAUGGUG